CUCUGGCUGCCUCCUCCUUCCUGGCUGGCUUGGGCCCUACUGGAGUUCAGGCUUCACAGAGGCCUACACAAGGCCUCUGUGGAAGCCCCGCCCACCCGCCGAUCAGCUGAGAGGCGGGAGAAAAGGAGCUCUUUGCAGCUUGUCUGCUGCCUCCAUUGCCGGCCAGGAGAACAAGCUGGAGAGACGGCGAACAGGGCAAGUGGCUGAGGGGCCUUGGGGCUGGGCAGGGGGCAAUGGGAAGUCACGUGAGGUGCCUCUGGGGGGCCCCUCCAGGCAGUGGGGCCCCCAGACAACUGUCUCCCCUUGCCCUAUCAUUGUUACGCGCCUGCACAAAUUAUUUUCUGAUUUCUCAAUAAGGUAAAGUUUUCACCUAAGACAACAGUGGCCAGAUAAUAUCCUAAGAAGUGCAACUUGAUGUGUCCUGCUGGAGAUAUCAAAAAGCUGAAAAUCUUCUAGCUUCUGGCAAAGGAAUUGAUAUAUUGUAUGCAGUGAGGACAACAGAGGAUGGAAUAACAAAUAAGUCAGAAGAGAUGAAAUGAUAUCAUGACGAUCACAUUCACAGUCUGAGGGCUGGCAACGGGAGUGGGACUGGUUGUGCCAGCUUCCUCUGACCCAGGAAGGACAGUCCACACCAGCCAAUAGUGUUGCAGCCCACAGGAGCAUCUUUGUCCCUUAACUCCGGUUGGGAGUUCAAUCCCAAUCCAGACAACAUGGCAGUGACAACAGAUCUUCAAUUUGUAAACAGACAGGCACAGCCAGGAGGGAACACGCAUAGCAUGUGGAGGACGCACGCAAGACAACAACACUCCGCAAGUGGAGCAGCAAGUCUUGGCAUGUUGUUGUUGCCCCCUCCUAGCCCACACAGCUUUGAAGAGUAACGGAUGAUGAUGGCAGAUAAUAAGAGAAUGGCAGCACGCACGUGUCUCUGGACAUUUCUUUUCCUGUCUGACACUGUGGCAUGAGAUCGCUGCAUCUAUGUAUGGGCAAGCACAAUCUUCAAAUAAA